GUUGAUCAAAAGAGCAUUGCAAACACAUCUCAAAUAUCACAUAGCAAAUGUCCAAAGCCUCAAAACCUGCAGAAAACAUCAAGAACUCAAAAUCACUUUUCAACUUGUCACAUUGUGUCAAACUUGCAUUUUCAAAGCUACUUUCACUCUCAGGUCAUUCCAAGCUUAGCAAAUUAGUUUGUCAUGGUCCAUAGGGUAUAUUGAAGCUGUCUCAAACCUCCAUUGCUCACUGUUUGAAAAUCA
rnacentral:lncRNA from 1 species